AGGACGAACGCUGGCGGCGUGCUUAACACAUGCAAGGUCGAACGAAAAAGACGGAAAGAGCUUGCUCUUUUCAGAAUUGAGUGGCAAACGGGUGAGUAACACGUAAACAACCUGCCUUCAGGAUGGGGACAACAGACGGAACGACUGCUAAUACCGAAUAGCUUCCAGAGAUCGCAUGAUCCAUGGAAGAAAAGGUGGCCUCUACCUGUAAGCUAUCGCCUGAAGAGGGGGUUUGCGUCUGAUUAGCUGGUUGGAGGGGGUUACGGCCCACCAAGGCGACGAUCAGUAGCCGACCUGAGAGGGUGACCGGCCACAUUGGGACUGAGACACGGCCCAAACUCCUACGGGAGGCAGCAGUGGGGAAUAUUGCACAAUGGGGGAAACCCUGAUGCAGCGACGCCGCGUGAGCGAAGAAGUAUUUCGGUAUGUAAAGCUCUAUCAGCAGGGAAGAAAAAAAUGACGGUACCUGACUAAGAAGCCCCGGCUAACUACGUG
rnacentral:rRNA from 1 species